GCAUGUAGUCAGCUGUUUGUUUUCUUUUAAUACUUGAAGUCGGAUGAGAACUUUGGAUGAGGCUUCUCCCUACAUUGAAUCACUGUACUGUUGGUCUGUCUCCUCAACGUCUUCCUGAUACGUCCACCGAAGACCACAAAGUACACAGAUUUGUUGACCAAGUCAUAAGUCACAGAAGUCAUGUCCAAUGCAUUCAAUUCUGAAUUUAUUGCAUGCAGUUUAUUAAUAAAUCUUUGUCUUCCUCGCCUACAUAAUCUUUGUCGGUAUGUCUUAAUGCAGGGAGAACAGAAGAUGUUGACAUGCUGCUGGUAGCCUGAGCUGGUAGCUGUGACAGGAUGAUUAUUCCUGUGUUCUGCAGUCUGGCCGUGCUGCUAAUCUCUUCACGCACUGCUGUGUGCGUGGACCCUCACCACGCAGCAUGCUGAGCUCAUCUCCUAGCAGUAAUUGCAUGUUUUUCUCUCGGUGUAAGCAGCUUGAGAGUGUUACUCCAGGUGCUGGUCUGUCCUUUCAGGAGUAGAGGAAGGCUGGCGUGUGGGCGUGUAGGAGAAGCUCGGGGACCUGGAUCCGUUCAGUAUGCUGGAGCAGUUGCCUGGGUUGCAUGCAGACAAAGGAGGGAACAGUUGUACUGUACCUUAUGAGCUGCUCGAGUGUGGAAUCCUCGCUGACAUGUAUUUAGAUAUGAAGAGCAAACCCAUGAGGGAAACUUCAUGUUCCUGCUCUGAGGGUCCAGCUGGAGGAUGUCUGUAAGAUGAGAGCCUUGUGCUCUGGCCUUAUCGCCAGGCCCUGACAGCCUGUGGCAGGAGAAAAAGCAUUUGGGAUUAGACUUCUAAGGACAACCCUGACUAUUCACACUUGGCAUUAGCAAGACAGCCUUAGUACAAGAAGGAUAUUUUUUAUUCCUUCAAUUUAACUUUAAUUACUCAAAUCUCUGUGAGGGCACAUAAGAAAAGCCCAGGCAUUUGUGUCAAGAAGAUUAGCAGACUGCCCUGCCAAGUCCGUGCAUUGCUGCGUCGUUAGAUAGAAUUCAAAUUCAAAUCCGGCUGAAGACAGUGCAGCUGUCACCCCCUGGCCUGUAAAGCCCCCUUGGAUCAAACAUGAGCUGUCCUCCCUCUGCCUGCAUCUCCCUCACUUGCCUUCCCCCCGAGGUCGCUAAUCCUCUCUCCCCGCUCACUGUGACAGCUAAAAUAAAGCCAUAAAACCUCCAAAAUAAUUACUAAUUAAAAAUACGAAAUGCCUUUUCCCCUCAUAAGGUGUGGGGGGGGGGGGACCUAGGUGUCAGGGGUAUAGCUGUCCCCGCCAAAAAGAGGCCAUAUUUCCUCCAUUGUCCCCAUGUCCCAGCCUGUGCCAGCACCAAACUGAAGGUCGUCCCACUAAUGUUCUGCACUAGCUGGAGGUGUGAAUGAGCAUGAAGGUUCUAACCCAACAGUAUAAUGAGCUUUUUACACUAGACCGUGAAUGCGAGGUUCUACUCCGGGGAGCACCCAGAACACGAGGCAUCAUCUGGAGGUUCUAUGCCUGGCAGAA